rnacentral:rRNA from 1 species
GAUGAACGCUGGCGGCGUGCCUAAUACAUGCAAGUCGAGCGAACAGACGAGGAGCUUGCUCCUCUGACGUUAGCGGCGGACGGGUGAGUAACACGUGGAUAACCUACCUAUAAGACUGGGAUAACUUCGGGAAACCGGAGCUAAUACCGGAUAAUAUAUUGAACCGCAUGGUUCAAUAGUGAAAGACGGUUUUGCUGUCACUUAUAGAUGGAUCCGCGCCGCAUUAGCUAGUUGGUAAGGUAACGGCUUACCAAGGCAACGAUGCGUAGCCGACCUGAGAGGGUGAUCGGCCACACUGGAACUGAGACUCGGUCCAGACUCCUACGGGAGGCAGCAGUAGGGAAUCUUCCGCAAUGGGCGAAAGCCUGACGGAGCAACGCCGCGGGAGUGAUGAAGGUCUUCGGAUCGUAAAACUCUGUUAUUAGGGAAGAACAAAUGUGUAAGUAACUAUGCACGUCUUGACGGUACCUAAUCAGAAAGCCACGGCUAACUACGUG